AACGAACGCUGGCGGCAUGCCUAACACAUGCAAGUCGAACGAGACCUUCGGGUCUAGUGGCGCACGGGUGCGUAACGCGUGGGAACCUGCCCUUAGGUUCGGAAUAACUCCCCGAAAGGGGUGCUAAUACCGGAUAAUGUCUUCGGACCAAAGAUUUAUCGCCUUUGGAUGGGCCCGCGUUGGAUUAGCUAGUUGGUAGGGUAAAAGCCUACCAAGGCGACGAUCCAUAGCUGGUCUGAGAGGAUGAUCAGCCACACUGGGACUGAGACACGGCCCAGACUCCUACGGGAGGCAGCAGUGGGGAAUAUUGGACAAUGGGCGAAAGCCUGAUCCAGCAAUGCCGCGUGAGUGAUGAAGGCCUUAGGGUUGUAAAGCUCUUUUACCCGGGAUGAUCAUGACAGUACCGGGAGAAUAAGCUCCGGCUAACUCCGUG
rnacentral:rRNA from 1 species